rnacentral:rRNA from 1 species
AUUGAACGCUGGCGGCAGGCCUAACACAUGCAAGUCGAGCGAGCGGCGGACGGGUGAGUAAUGUAUGGGGACUGCCCGAUAGAGGGGGAUAACUACUGGAAACGGUAGCUAAUACCGCAUACUAUCGGAUAACCCAUAUGGGAUUAGCUAGUAGGUGAGGUAAUGGCUCACCUAGGCGACGAUCCCUAGCUGGUCUGAGAGGAUGAUCAGCCACACUGGGACGGAGAACGGGCCAAGCUUCCUACGGGGGCAGCAGUGGGGAAUAUUGCACAAUGGGGGAAAGCCUGAUGAAGCAAGGCCGGGUGUAUGUAGAGGGCCCUAGGGUUGUAAAGUACUUUCAGUCGGGAGGCGUUACCGACAGAAGAAGCAACGGCUAACUCCGUGCCAGCAGCCGCGGUAAUUC